rnacentral:rRNA from 1 species
GACGAACGCUGGCGGCGUGCUUAACACAUGCAAGUCGAACGAAGAGCGACGGAAGCUUGCUUCUAUCAAUCUUAGUGGCGAACGGGUGAGUAACGCGUAAUCAACCUGCCCUUCAGAGGGGGACAACAGUUGGAAACGACUGCUAAUACCGCAUACGAUCUGACCUCGGCAUCGAGGAUAGAUGAAAGGUGGCCUCUACAUGUAAGCUAUCACUGAAGGAGGGGAUUGCGUCUGAUUAGCUAGUUGGAGGGGUAACGGCCCACCAAGGCGAUGAUCAGUAGCCGGUCUGAGAGGAUGAACGGCCACAUUGGGACUGAGACACGGCCCAGACUCCUACGGGAGGCAGCAGUGGGGAAUCUUCCGCAAUGGACGAAAGUCUGACGGAGCAACGCCGCGUGAGUGAUGACGGCCUUCGGGUUGUAAAGCUCUGUUAAUCGGGACGAAAGGCCUUCUUGCGAAUAGUUAGGAGG